rnacentral:rRNA from 1 species
UACAGAGGGGGCAAGCGUUGUUCGGAAUUGCUGGGCGUAAAGGGCGCGUAGGCGGCCUUCUAAGUCGAACGUGAAAUCCCCGGGCUCAACCCGGGAACUGCGUCCGAUACUGGAAGGCUUGAAUCCGGGAGAGGGAUGUGGAAUUCCAGGUGUAGCGGUGAAAUGCGUAGAUAUCUGGAGGAACACCGGUGGCGAAGGCGGGUCUCUGGGCAACAACUGACGCUGAGGAGCGAAAGCGUGGGGAGCGAACAGG